GUGAGUCGUUGACUCAAAGAGAGAAAGACAAUAGUUGAACAGUUUUGAAAAAAUUCAUUUAUUCCAAAAUUAAGGAGAAGCAAUAGAGAGAGAGAUUUCAUUAUUUUUUUAAAAACUUUAAAUUUCACUUACUUAGCUAGCAAAUGCAGCUAGGUAGUUUAGCCUACUGAAACACCCUGCUCAAACAGAGGGAUGCUAUGUUAGCUAGCUUGCUAUGACUAUCCAACACAACACUGGAACUCUUCCAAGUGAAGUCUCAGUACAAAGGCCCUGGUAUGAGAAGGGAUAGGAGAUGGGAGAUGUGAGGUGGGCGGCCAGUGUGGAUUGCCGUCUCCCUUUACCGGAGGAAGUGGAUCUGCGUGUCCGAUCCCAACGUGCAUAAAGCUGUCAAACACCAAUUGAUGGUGAUGAACAACCUCUGGUGAUCAGGGAGAGUGAUGACUGGUUUAAAGAUAUAUGGGAUGAAUGAUGAUUGAGCAGUCCAGGUGUGAUAUCCUUCAUUCAAAGACAAUGAUAUAGACUCAAACUGCCAUUACGCACAGCUAAAUGUUCACUCUUUCAAAUGCCAUUUGCUAUUUGCCUUAGAAAUAAAUAUGUAAGGCACAGUACAGAAAUAGGUUCUGGCAAAAACAUUAUAAAUCUAUAGAUACAUCAUUUACAUGGUUUAUUAAUUGGAUGUUGACAUGUUUGUGGCAUCAGAAUGAGUCAUAGGGGAGUUAAAAAUGAUUAAACCCUGCCUAAAUGUCAAAUCCCUCCAGCUCUGAAUGUAACGUACUGUUGUAAUAAUGUUUAUUUAUGAAGCCCGGCCAUGAUCAAGGCUCAGUUCGGGUUGUUUAUUUCACUUUCAGAAUCUUUUUGUCUCUGUAAUGGCUCAUUACGGCCAUAUGUUGUUCCUAAACCCGAAGUUCUAGAGCAUUCUUCCUUAUUUUGUUUUGCGCACAUUGCACCCAUUAUCUGUUUCCACUAAUUCCUGUCGAGAGCAAUGCCCUUUUGCCUUGCUCAUGCUCUCAAGACAAAGGUGAGUGAGUGUGGGUGGAGGGGGUUGUUGAAUGAAGGCCUUUACUCGUCCCCCUCCUGAGGGUGAAGGUGGACCCCUGGGGGCAGGAGUCCCACUACCCCUUUUAAGUGCUACUCGAGCUUCCUG
rnacentral:lncRNA from 1 species